AAUUAGCUUAAUCUGUGAAAGAAAUUUUUUUGUUUUUUUGAUAACAAUAUAAAAAUGGAAGGUGAAAUUUCUUUUUUUCUUCCUUCUAAAAAGAAAAAUUCUGGCCGAGCCACUCAGCGAGGGCUCCUCGCUGAGCAGGCUCGCCGCUGAAUCAGCGUCGACAGUAUCUUUAUAUUCUAUUGUUUUGUUUUGUAAGAUACCGAUGUGGGAUAAUCUUCUCCAAAAAGUGCAGGCAGCAAGCUUUGUUUGAGGUUGAUGGGUAUGAUCCGAAACGAAUUGUAAUUAUAUUGAAGGCAAAAUCCCUCAAACAAUAGUGCAUUCAGAGGUUUAAACGAGAAGAUCUCUCUCACGUAAUAACUUUUCCAGGAUGAUAUGAUUUCAGAAACUUCCAUUUCCAUUUCCCAAGCUUUCAAUGACACUGUUUUUUCCAUUCAAUUUACCUUGUACAACUUGAAAUCUCUGAAACAACACCGUUUCUUCCCCCGAAAAACAACAGAAGAAGCUAAUAAUGGCAUCGAACGAAGCUCAUAGAGAGAGCAAGAGCAAGAGCUGCACUGUGAUGACGAAAACGACGGACUAAAAUUCCUGCGAAAAGUAGCUAAAAUACUCAUCUUUUAGCGUCCCAAAAAAGAAGAAAAGGCUCUCUUCAGUUCAAUUCGAACCCUAACGCCAUUGAAAUUUCAAAAAGAGCAGGUUAUGGCUUGAAAUCAGAGAUUCAGGUGAUGGGUCUCAUCUGAGAUAUUUCUUGGAAAGGAGAAAAAGGACUGGUUUCAUUUCGAUUGGACGGUCCAUAGAGCAGCACUCGAGAUCCGUGACGAAUUCCGAAAUCGUUGAUCAACGAUGAUGAUAGCUUUCGGUAUUUGGGAUGGCUUCAGAUGAUCGUUUACAGACGCAUAAAAUGGAAUUCAAGCAACCAAUCAAUCAGCUUUAGCUCAAUGGCAGUUGAGUGUUAAAUGAAAAAUUCAAGCAAGGGAAAAAAUUUGAUGAUUUCCCUCAUAAAUCUAACAUUUUUCUAAUGCCUUGUCAUUCAUUUAAUCUGUCGGUACUGGUGUUGUUUUCAGGUGCCAAGCGUAGAGUUUGAGAUUCUGUGGGAAUCAAAUAAAAUAAUAAAAAAAAAUUCAAGCAAA